UGUUUAAUGCGGGAAUCGAACCCGGGUCGUAGUGGUCGAAAACCACCAGCCUUCCACCGACCCCCUUGGGUUAUC